AACGCACCUUGCGCUCCUUGGUAUUCCGAGGAGCAUGCCUGUUUGAGUGUCAUUAAAUCAUCAACCCCCACUCCCUUGUGGUAUGGGGUGUUUGGACUUGGAGAUUGCAGGCCCCCUGGGCCAGCUCCUCUGAAAUGCAUUAGCAGAGCCCAUCAUGUGCAUCUGUGGCUUGGUGUGAUAGUAAAUCUACACCUAGCGAUGUUGUGCAUCGAAUCUGCUGCCAGUCGUCCGCUUCCUGGACAAUCAUUGACCAUUUGACCUCAAAUCAGGUAGGAUUACCCGCUGAACUUAA
rnacentral:misc_RNA from 1 species